GACCUCCCCAACCCUUUGUCUAAAUUACCUUUGUUGCUUCGGCGGACCGGUUGAUGACCAACUGGUCCCGACCGCCGGGGGGGCUUCACCCCCUGGAGAGCGUCCGCCGACGGCCCAACCACAA
rnacentral:rRNA from 1 species